UGCGAGGGCAUAUAGCCCUCGCUUUUCUGUACCGUAAGGUGGUACAGGAACAAGGACUGGGCAAGACCGGUGCCAGCCGCCGCGGUAAUACCGGCAGUCCAAGUGAUGGCCGAUAUUAUUGGGCCUAAAGCGUCCGUAGCCGGCCGGACAAGUCCGUUGGGAAAUCGACGCGCUCAACGCGUCGGCGUCCAGCGGAAACUGUCCGGCUUGGGGCCGGAAGACCUGAGGGGUACGUCCGGGGUAGGAGUGAAAUCCUGUAAUCCUGGACGGACCACCAAUGGGGAAACCACCUCAGGAAGACGGACCCGACGGUGAGGGACGAAAGCUAGGGUCUCGAACCGGAUU
rnacentral:rRNA from 2 species